rnacentral:lncRNA from 1 species
AAUGUGCUCCUGUCCAGCGAUGGGAGCCGUGCAGCCCUCUGUGACUUCGGCCAUGCUGUGUGCCUUCAACCCGAUGGCCUGGGGAAGUCCUUGCUCACGGGUAAGCCCUGCCUCCUGCCUCCCUCCCCCACGAUGACAGUCACCACUAGCCUUCACGAAGCAUUAGCCUUCUCCUGUGCUUUCUGUAAUAGCAGUCAGAGGUGUGAACCCUUUUUGUCCACAGUAUUUCAGCCCAUCAACAACCCUAGGUUAGCAGAAAGCUUUUGUUACGCUUAAAUGCAAGAAUGAGUAUCAGGUCCUCGUUUCUGAUAUUCCUGCUACACAGAGAAGGGAACGGAAAGGCUGGCCGCCUCUCAUCCAGCCUUUUCUGGGUGGCUCGGCUCCCAGCCUGUGGCCUCAGCCAUCCUGGGCCUCUGAGCAGUUUCUGGAAGCACAACACGAGGGCUGACCAAGAGGCCUGGGCUCUGUAGCUGGAGAAGCAUCUGUUUUUAACUUAAAUCUUCUGAUUAGUAAAGUAAUCCACAUCCAUUGUGACAUAUUUAGCAACUACAGAGUGAAGUGGUGUAGAAGAGGAGGGAAAAAGGAGCUACCCUGUUCCUCUUGCCCAGAGACAUAAUCACAAACAUUGUAGAUCACUCCUUCCAUCUCCUUUUUUUCUUCCUGUACCUCGUUAAGGCCAUUAUAACACAAUUCUGCUCUUUUUUCAUUUAUAGCGUUCUGCAUAAGGUUAUUUCCUCUUGACCAAAGGAAAAUCAACCUCUUAUUUAUUUAUUGAGAGAGAGAGAGAGAGAGAGCAGGGAAAGGGCAGAGGGAGAGAAUCCCAAGCAGGCUCCACAGUGUCAGCACAGAGCCCCAUGUGGGGCUCAAACCCACGAACUGCAAGAUCAUGACCUGAGCCGAAACCAUGAGUCAGACGCCCAACCGAGCCACCCCGGCACCCUAGGCAAAAACCUUUUAGAAGUGAUUCUCUGACAGGGCACCUGGGUGGCUCUCAGUUAAGUGCCAGACUUCGGCUCCGGUCAUGAUCUCAUGGUUUGUGGGUGCCAGCCCCGUGUCAGGCUGUGUGCUGACAGCUCAGCGCCUGGGGCCUGCUUCAGAUUCUGUGUCUCCCUCUCUCUCUCUGCCCCUCCUCUGCUCACCCUCUCUCUCUCAAAAAUAAAAAGCAUUAAAAAUUUUUUUAAGUGAUUCUCUAUCAUUAGAGGACUAUCUUGGUCAUUCUGAAGAUGUAUAUUGAAAACAGACACCUGCCUGUAUUAUGAAAAUAAUUUCUUUUCUAAAAUCUUUUGCAGAAAGUAGAACUAAGCUAAAAUAAAAAAUACAGAUCACCAGAGUGGGGGAAACAACUUCCUAUCUGGUAUCGAUCCUUCUAGUCUGCCUAGAAGUUUGUUUGGUUGUUUUUUUGUUUUUGUUUUUUUCACUUGCUAACAUUGCAGGAACAUCAUAACCAUUAAUUAGUCUCCUGCCACAUAAUUUCGAACGCCCAGGCCCCUCCCCAGUGUUAAAAAGCACUCUAAGAGUUUGGGCCAAUGGGUAGAGCCCAUAUUUUGGGUGAUGCCUUCUUUGUGCCAGUCUCCAGGGGAGCCCCUGACUUAGCUCAUCCCCGGCAGAUUUGAGCUGGAGGCUUUCUCUCUACUCGAGGCCCAUUAACAGAGACAAAUUCAAGGUAUCCCGGGAAUUGACUGGUGUGGUCACUGCCAAGGCUCUUGCCCCCCAGAGUUCACGGUUGGCUUUUCCGCCUCACCUCACCCCCCUCAGGGGACUACAUCCCUGGCACAGAGACCCACAUGGCUCCAGAGGUGGUGAUGGGCAAGCCCUGUGACGCCAAGGUGGACGUGUGGAGCAGCUGCUGUAUGAUGCUUCACAUGCUCAACGGCUGCCACCCUUGGACCCAGUACUUCAGAGGGCCACUGUGCCUCAAGGUCAGUGACAGCAUGCGGGAGGGCCAGGAGGCCCACGGGCCCGGGGCUGCAGACUUGGGGCGGUCCCCAUUUUGGCUGCUCUUCCGUGGCCGAUGGGAACAGGAAGAGGCCUCAUCGUAAACGUGGGAGCCUCACUAAAACACUUGCCACCCAGAUCGGUGGGCCCAAGGGGACAUCCCAGGUGAAGGAUCUCCUUAGGUUCAUGGCAGGUCAGCGCUGUCUUCCACUCGUACGCUGGG